CUCUGUUCCAGCAUAAUGCUGCUUCCAGACCUGGGGCUCUGGGGCCAGCUCUGCAAAUUCUGGUCACUGCCUCCCUGGAUUUCAACCUACCCAGUGGUGACAUAAGGGUUCCCUGACACCAUGGGUGUAAGCAUGCCUGGUAUGUGGAGGGGAUGCACAAAAAGGCACUAGCUUUAGGGUAAAGCCCAGGAAGCAGAGAGAGGAGUAAAGUCACCAGGCACUGUGGCAGAGACAGGGACCGACUCAGCAGAGGACUGAAGUGAAAGGGAAACUGAGGCUGAGCUGUCAGAGUUGAGAUUUAAAGUUUGUUUGGCUGCAGGGAGGUGGGGCCCUGUUUCCUCUGCCUUUCUGUCUUCUGUCACAGGCUGUGUCGUAGAUAGAGGAGCACGGCCAGACCAAGAAGCCAGUUGGAGCAUUUUCCACUCCUCAUUGGUGCUUCCUCCCAAGGGAGCCGAGAAAGAGAAAGCCCUUAUCUGCAGCAUAGCCAUCAGCCUUCCUAUUAUCCCCAGCCCAUUUGCUUAUCUGGAAGUCCCUUCCUCCAGGACAAGGUUUCUCUGUGUGGCCCUGGCUGUCCUGAACUUGCUGUGUAGACUAGGCUGGCCAUGAAAUCAGAGAUCCACCUGCAUGAACCACUACCACCACUAAGCACCCCUGCCAUUUCUUAACCCAGAUCAUCUUGACUUACUAUCUCAGUGUACUGCAAGCUCCUGACUGAUCUCCCUGCUAGUAGGACAGUGCUUCUCCAUCUAUUCUGGGUGCUGCCUCCAGCCUUCCCCACAAGCUCAGCCCAUUUGUCUUCAUCCUGUUUUGUCUCUCACCAGCCAACAUCCCUACCAUCUGUGGGAUGGUGCUACAGGGUCAGCCUCCUGCCAGAUUUACACGGGAAACUUCAAACUCCACUCUUCACGGCUCUCAGGCCUUGACACGCCUAGUGGUCAGCUAGGGGGUAGGAUGCAGAGCUCUGGAGGGCCACUGACUUUCAAGCAAUUUUCUAUACUUGCUGUAAUUUUCCCAAUUUUCUAUAACCUCGAGGAGCUGGAGGUAAAUGACGAGCUGUCUUUCGAUGGGUUGGAUAGGUUUGAAGGAUUCAUCUAAAAUACCCAAAGAAAUAUUAGAUCUGCAAAAUGCUUAGGUCAGCACCUGACACAGAACUGUUAACUGAUCCCGAAAAAAAAUAGGUCAAAUGUCUUGAGUAUUGAGGUCAGGAAACUGACUUCAGGCGGCUAGUGAGAAUCACACAGCACACUCAAGGUGGCUUCUCGGCAGAUGGAGAAAAGUCUCAGCCAGACAUGGCGAUUUAAUUAAAAUGUUUUCUUUGCUAAUAGCUGCUUUCAUUUUUAUCUCCUUGUAUUCUAAGACCUAACUUCUGGCUGUAGGGGAGUUUAUUCAAUUUAGAGCUGUGUUAUGAUUAGGAGAGCCAAAGCAAGCAGGGCAGGAACACCUCCCACCACUUAGCAACUAAGGAAAAUGUGCAUGCCACUUGGCAGCAAUACCGCUUCCACACGGGGAGGGAUGGCUCCAAGUUCUGCAGAAAUCUGCGGCAGCCUCAUGGGCUCCAGUUUUACACUUGUACAGUCUAAGUGGAACAAAGCACCGGUAAGAAAUAUCCUUCAUGUGGUAUUGCUUGCAGCCGGUCAGGCUUACCCCUCCGGUUGGGGAAUUGGCUGGAAAUGAGAAGAUUCAAGACAGGAAGGGGUUCAUUCACACAAUAGCAGGCCUGGCUGUCUCAGCCCUCUUUAGAACAUAAAACUGUACCUAGAUCCACUGCUCUUCAACAGCACCCAUGUUCCUUUGAGAAUUGAUACACAAAUCUCAGCCUAUGGUAUCUCAACCCCACCCCCACCAAGCGGGAACCCUUUGCCAAACCUGGCUCACCUCUGUACAGCAGACCAUUCCACCCUCUGCCAGGCUGUAGUGUACCUGAGAUCUUUUACCCAGCCCUGCGCCUGCCCACCCGCCCUUUCUGAGUCAUGGUCUCUGCAAACAGGUUCCAUUUAGAACACUUCAGUUGCUCUCUGCUCUCCCGCUACUUCAUCUGUG
rnacentral:lncRNA from 1 species